rnacentral:lncRNA from 1 species
AAAAAUAAUGUCGUUUACAAGCAGCUCUUCCUAUGUCUAAGGAAGAACUAGUCACACAUGCGAGUUUUUGCUGGCUUGAGAACAAGCAAGGAAAAAGACAAAUCCCACCUACCCUAGCCUAAAAUACACAGUGAGUCUCAGAACCCCGCGGAAGCUGUGGCUCAUUUCUAAAGGUGCUGGCAAUAUCGAGGAAGACUUGUAUCCACAAAAUUCCAAAUGAUUAAAUAAUCAAGUCAUUAUUGUGAAUUUGGAUCUAAAUGACCUGGCAGAAACCAUGGAGAUGAUCUUGAAAUGGCAGGAAAUGGCAGCUACCUGAUAUGGAACAAUCAACAACUGAAGGUUUAUUUUGAAUGAGAGGUGUUGUCCAACUGCGAGACGGAGUGAUUGAAGCUGAGAAUAAAUGGAAACACAAUCAAUAGUCACUCCAGUGAGGUAGGAAAGAAAGCCAUUCCGAAGUGGCAGAGAAGCUGCUUUUUCCUCCUGCAUGCUGCCUGCUAGUGUGGAUCUUGGCAUAACAGACACUACUUGGCAAAAGAUCCAUCCUUCCUUUUCCUAUACUUUGCUCAGCGGCCUGGAAGAUUGACCUCAAAAGCAAAAUCACCUGGAUUUCCUUGCCAUUUGGCUUUCAAAUGUGCUCAGCCAAUGACAGGCUGGAAAGAAAUUGACAGCUGGGAAAAGAGGAAGAUUUGUGUACAAGAUCCCUUCCACUCCCAUCUCAUUACCUGCCAUGGUCCUAGCAGUGGCUGUUCUUAUUAUGGCCACAACUACUCUUGGACAGGCCAACAUCCACAACUCCAUCCUUCAACUAGGCUUCAUUAACACUGUCCCUCACCCUUAUCUCUUUCUGGGUAGGGGUGAUAAAGGUUUCCUGACAUCAGAGUUCCUGAGUGCCUCAUAUAUUCUUGUUGGUCCCUGAACCUUGCCCCAACAUCAAUAAAAAGUUCCUUCAUUAAAUAAUUUUCAGUUGAAUCUUUCGUGCUGGGAUCUGUCCAAUUCGACUUUAGCAUACUUUUCGUGCCAAGAAAGUGAUAGUUUCUUGCCAGGAUUUGGCUCAAAGGGCUCACAGUGGGUGAGGGGAUGAGAUUACUUAUUAAGUGAUAAAAUGGAGAUCACAGUGGUUAAC